AGAGUUUGAUCAUGGCUCAGGAUGAACGCUAGCUACAGGCUUAACACAUGCAAGUCGAGGGGCAGCAUGACCUAGCAAUAGGUUGAUGGCGACCGGCGCACGGGUGAGUAACACGUAUCCAACCUACCGGUUAUUCCGGGAUAGCCUUUCGAAAGAAAGAUUAAUACCGGAUAGUAUAACGAGAAGGCAUCUUUUUGUUAUUAAAGAAUUUCGAUAACCGAUGGGGAUGCGUUCCAUUAGUUUGUUGGCGGGGUAACGGCCCACCAAGACAUCGAUGGAUAGGGGUUCUGAGAGGAAGGUCCCCCACAUUGGAACUGAGACACGGUCCAAACUCCUACGGGAGGCAGCAGUGAGGAAUAUUGGUCAAUGGACGAGAGUCUGAACCAGCCAAGUAGCGUGAAGGAUGACUGCCCUAUGGGUUGUAAACUUCUUUUAUAUGGGAAUAAAGUGAGCCACGUGUGGCUUUUUGUAUGUACCAUACGAAUAAGGAUCGGCUAACUCCGUGCCAGCAGCCGCGGUAAUACGGAGGAUCCGAGCGUUAUCCGGAUUUAUUGGGUUUAAAGGGAGCGUAGGCGGACUAUUAAGUCAGCUGUGAAAGUUUGCGGCUCAACCGUAAAAUUGCAGUUGAUACUGGUCGUCUUGAGUGCAGUAGAGGUAGGCGGAAUUCGUGGUGUAGCGGUGAAAUGCUUAGAUAUCACGAAGAACUCCGAUUGCGAAGGCAGCUUACUGGACUGUAACUGACGCUGAUGCUCGAAA
rnacentral:rRNA from 1 species